rnacentral:rRNA from 1 species
UUGAUGUUCUAACGUGGACCCGUUACCCGGGUUGCGGACAGUGUCUGGUGGGUAGUUUGACUGGGGCGGUCUCCUCCUAAAGAGUAACGGAGGAGCACGAAGGUUGGCUAAUCCUGGUCGGACAUCAGGAGGUUAGUGCAAUGGCAUAAGCCAGCUUGACUGCGAGCGUGACGGCGCGAGCAGGUGCGAAAGCAGGUCAUAGUGAUCCGGUGGUUCUGAAUGGAAGGGCCAUCGCUCAACGGAUAAAAGGUACUCCGGGGAUAACAGGCUGAUACCGCCCAAGAGUUCAUAUCGACGGCGGUGUUUGGCACCUCGAUGUCGGCUCAUCACAUCCUGGGGCUGAAGUAGGUCCCAAGGGUAUGGCUGUUCGCCAUUUAAAGUGGUACGCGAGCUGGGUUUAGAACGUCGUGAGACAGUUCGGUCCCUAUCUGCCGUGGGCGCUGGAGAACUGAGGGGGGCUGCUCCUAGUACGAGAGGACCGGAGUGGACGCAUCACUGGUGUUCGGGUUGUCAUGCCAAUGGCACUGCCCGGUAGCUAAAUGCGGAAGAGAUAAGUGCUGAAAGCAUCUAAGCACGAAACUUGCCCCGAGAUGAGUUCUCCCUGAGACUUAGAGUCUCCUGAAGGAACGUUGAAGACGACGACGUUGAUAGGCCGGGUGUGUAAGCGCAGCGAUGCGUUGAGCUAACCGGUACUAAUGAACCGUGAGGCUUAACCUUACAACGCCGAAG